AGAGUUGGAUCCUGGCUCAGAGUGAACGCUGGCGGCAGGCCUAAUACAUGCAAGUCGAACGGCAGCACAGCAGAGCUUGCUCUGUGGGUGGCGAGUGGCGGACGGGUGAGGAAUACGUGGGAAUCUGCCCAGUCGUGGGGGAUAACGUAGGGAAACUUACGCUAAUACCGCAUGCGCCCUUCGGGGAAAGCCGGGGACCUUCGGGCCUGGCGCGAUUGGAUGAGCCCACGUCGGAUUAGCUAGUUGGCGGGGUAAAGGCCCACCAAGGCGACGAUCCGUAGCUGGUCCGAGAGGAUGAUCAGCCACACUGGAACUGAGACACGGUCCAGACUCCUACGGGAGGCAGCAGUAGGGAAUAUUGGACAAUGGGCGCAAGCCUGAUCCAGCCAUGCCGCGUGAGUGAAGAAGGCCCUCGGGUUGUAAAGCUCUUUUGUCCGGAAAGAAAAGCGCCGGGUUAAUACCCUGGUGUCCUGACGGUACCGGAAGAAUAAGCACCGGCUAACUUCGUG
rnacentral:rRNA from 1 species